CUGCGACCGUGGUAUGUACGCCACUGCAUACAAAUGUUUAAACAGCAAUUGGAUAAAUACUUGCAAAAACUUAAUAUACAGGGAUAUAAUUUCUAAUUAGUGGGGCUUCUUGAUCCAAGGAAAUGUAUGAAUACCAUUUUAGGGUCAAGAAGGAAUUUUUUUUCAUAGUUUGUAGUAAAUGGGAAGCGCUUAAAACUGGGUGUUUAGCCUUCUUUUGGAUCAACAGCAAAAACAUAUGUGAGAAAGGCUGAACUUGAUGGACGCAAGUCUCUUUUCAGCUAUGUAACUAUGUAAAUUUGCCACAUGCCAUGAUAGUCACAGUUUAACAUAUACCUGGAUUUGAACACUAAAUGUUUCUAGUUCUCUCCUUAGCUUUGGAGCACAAGCCAUCCACCAGAACUUGUACGACCGACAUUAGAGAGGACUUUGAAAAUUCUAGGGCUUGAUUACAUAGAUCACUAUAUUGUUGAACUCCCGAUGGCUUUCAAGGUAAAAUGAUCUUCAGACAUAUAUCCUGAAACCGUGUCUUUUUUGUGGUUUGAAGAUAUCAACUUUGGUUUAUAUUGUUUUUUUUUUUAUUUUUUUAUUAUUAUAGCCUGGGGAUGAACUAAUCCCACAAGAUGAGAAUGGAAAGACCUUAUACGACAAAACAGAUCUGCGUUCGACCUGGAAGGCAAGUACCUAAAAUGUGGCUUUAUGAUCUAAGUUGCACAGUCUAAUCAUAGUUUCAAUCACAAAGAGAAGCAGUUCUCAAAUGACUUCGUCG